UACGUAGGGGGCUAGCGUUGUCCGGAAUCAUUGGGCGUAAAGCGCGUGUAGGCGGCCCGGUAAGUCCGCUGUGAAAGUCGGGGGCUCAACCCUCGGAUGCCGGUGGAUACUGUCGGGCUUGAGUACGGAAGAGGCGAGUGGAAUUCCUGGUGUAGCGGUGAAAUGCGCAGAUAUCAGGAGGAACACCAGUGGCGAAGGCGGCUCACUGGUCCAUUACUGACGCUGAGGUGCGAAAGCGUGGGGAGCAAACAGG
rnacentral:rRNA from 1 species